UAUGUAGGGGGCAAGCGUUGUCCGGAUUUAUUGGGCGUAAAGAGCGUGUAGGCGGCCUUACAGGUCAGCUGUGAAAACUCGAGGCUCAACCUCGAGACGUCGGUUGAAACCGUAUGGCUAGAGUCCGGAAGAGGAGAGUGGAAUUCCCGGUGUAGCGGUGAAAUGCGCAGAUAUCGGGAAGAACACCCGUGGCGAAGGCGGCUCUCUGGGACGGUACUGACGCUGAGACGCGAAAGCGUGGGGAGCGAACAGG
rnacentral:rRNA from 1 species